CCUACGGGAGGCAGCAGUGAGGAAUAUUGGUCAAUGGACGCAAGUCUGAACCAGCCAUGCCGCGUGCAGGAAGACGGCUCUAUGAGUUGUAAACUGCUUUUGUACGAGGGUAAACGCAGAUACGCGUAUCUGUCUGAAAGUAUCGUACGAAUAAGGAUCGGCUAACUCCGUGCCAGCAGCCGCGGUAAUACGGAGGAUUCAAGCGUUAUCCGGAUUUAUUGGGUUUAAAGGGUGCGUAGGCGGUCGGAUAAGUUAGAGGUGAAAUCCCGAGGCUCAACUUCGGAAUUGCCUCUGAUACUGUUCGGCUAGAGAGUAGUUGCGGUAGGCGGAAUGUAUGGUGUAGCGGUGAAAUGCUUAGAGAUCAUACAGAACACCGAUUGCGAAGGCAGCUUACCAAGCUACUUCUGACGCUGAGGAGCGAAAGCGUGGGUAGCAAACAGGAUUAGAUACCCCAGUAGUC
rnacentral:rRNA from 1 species